UACGAAGGGGGCUAGCGUUGCUCGGAAUUACUGGGCGUAAAGGGCGCGUAGGCGGAUAUUUAAGUCGGGGGUGAAAGCCCAGGGCUCAACCCUGGAAUUGCCUUCGAUACUGGAUAUCUUGAGUUCGGGAGAGGUGAGUGGAAUGCCGAGUGUAGAGGUGAAAUUCGUAGAUAUUCGGAAGAACACCAGUGGCGAAGGCGACUCACUGGACACGUAUUGACGCUGAGGUGCGAAAGCGUGGGGAGCAAACAGG
rnacentral:rRNA from 1 species